GAGAUCACAGCGAUGGCUAUGACAAAUGAGGUGAUGAAAUGUCAUCCCAUUCCACACCGAGUCUACAACUAAGGAUCCAAGCAUAAGAAACACUUGGAAAAUUCUGGGUUCUCCAAAGUGGACGGGGGCAUGGUUUAGUGUGCCAGACGUCAGAAGCCUACCUGUGGGCUGCUCCAAAUGUGGUCCUGGUAUGGAGGUCCAGCGUGUGGACCUUUUAUCAUUGCACUGCUGCUGAGUGAGUCGCAUUGGAGGCUGACACCUGGCUGCAGGUAAAACAGGUUACACUGGAGGCUGUCUCCUCUUGCUUAGAAGUAGAGGUCAUCUGUUCCUGCAGAGAAGUCACAUGGCACCCACACACCCCAACUCCUAAUGGUUCUCUCCCUGUGGGUGUGACCCUCUGGCCAGAGAAGGUCCACACCCUGUGGGGUCACUGAGAAGGCAGAACCUGGGGCCCCACUCAGACCCUGGCACCGGAACCGAAUGUCAGUAGUCUGGUGAUUCGUGCAUACAUUAACCUUUGAGAGCUUUGCUUUCGAUGGAACUUGAUAAAUAUUCCUUGAAGAUGCUGAAUUUACCACUCUUUGUCUUUUUUAUGUAAUGAGGAGCCAACUGCUAUCAAAAGAGGCUUGUUAUCCUCAACAAUGCUGAACAAUUACUACAUGUUUUUGGUAAUGCAGACUCACAGGCAGCCCUGCUGGGCGCCCAGUGUCCCCUGCUGGGAGCUCCACACUCACUCCACAGUGCACGCAUCUACACAGCAAGACCUCACUUGGGGUUGUCCAUAGGUUCUUGGAAACUGUGACUUUAGGUGAAACGACACAUAUCAAACAUCAAUUUCUCCGGAGGCUAAUUGAUAUAAACAAGAGUUACAUUCCUAUGGUAUAGUUCUGGCCACAAAAACAUCACCAAAGAAGCACACUUCUAAUACGAAACACUGAAAUACAUGUGAGCUCUACGUGCAUUUAAGAAGGACUUUAGUGAGAAGUGUGCCCUCGC
rnacentral:lncRNA from 10 species